rnacentral:rRNA from 1 species
AGCAGCCGCGGUAAUUCCAGCUCCAAUAGCGUAUAUUAAAGUUGUUGCAGUUAAAAAGCUCGUAGUUGAAUUUCGGGAUCAAUUUAUUGGUCGUGCAAUAGUACGUACUGGUAUUAUUGGUUCCUACCUUCUGAUGAACCAUGAUGUCAUUAAUUUGGUGUUAUGGGGAAUCAGGACUGUUACUUUGAAAAAUUAGAGUGUUUAAAGCAGGCUCACGCUUGAAUACAUUAGCAUGGAAUAAUGAAAUAGGACGUUUGAUUCUAUUUUGUUGGUUUCUAGGAUCGACGUAAUGAUUAAUAGGGAUAGGUUGGGGGCAUUAGUAUUCAAU